rnacentral:rRNA from 1 species
UGGGGAAUUUUGCGCAAUGGGCGAAAGCCUGACGCAGCAACGCCGCGUGUGUGAUGAAGGUCUUCGGAUUGUAAAGCACUUUCGACCGGGACGAAAACCCGUUGGCUAACAUCCAACGGCUUGACGGUACCGGGAGAAGAAGCACCGGCUAACUCUGUGCCAGCAGCCGCGGUAAUACAGAGGGUGCAAGCGUUGUUCGGAAUUAUUGGGCGUAAAGCGCGUGUAGGCGGCGUGACAAGUCGGGUGUGAAAGCCCUCAGCUCAACUGAGGAAGUGCGCCCGAAACUGUCGUGCUUGAGUGCCGGAGAGGGUGGCGGAAUUCCCCAAGUAGAGGUGAAAUUCGUAGAUAUGGGGAGGAACACCGGUGGCGAAGGCGGCCACCUGGACGGUAACUGACGCUGAGACGCGAAAGCGUGGGGAGCAAACA